AACGUAGGAGGCGAGCGUUAUCCGGAGUUACUGGGCGUAAAGCGCAUGUAGGCGGUUGGAUAAGUUGCGUGUGAAAGCUCCUGGCUAAACUAGGAGAGGACAGGCAAGACUGUUCGGCUAGAGGGUGGUAGAGGGGCACAGAAUUCGGGGUGUAGCGGUGAAAUGUGUAGAGAUCCCGAGGAAUACCAGUGGUGAAGACGGUGCCCUGGGCCAUACCUGACGCUGAGAUGCGAAAGCGUGGGGAGCGAACAGG
rnacentral:rRNA from 1 species